UCGGGAAUUUUGGGCAAUGGGCGAAAGCCUGACCCAGCAACGCCGCGUGAGGGAUGAAGUAUUUCGGUAUGUAAACCUCGAAAGAAUGGGAAGAAUAAAUGACGGUACCAUUUAUAAGCUCCGGCUAACUACGUGCCAGCAGCCGCGGUAAUACGUAGGGAGCAAGCGUUGUUCGGAUUUACUGGGCGUAAAGGGCGCGUAGGCGGCGCGGUAAGUCACUUGUGAAAUCUCUGAGCUUAACCCAGAACGGCCAAGUGAUACUGCUGUGCUAGAGUGCGGAAGAGGCAACCGGAAUUCUUGGUGUAGCGGUGAAAUUCGUAGAUAUCAAGAGGAACACCUUAGGCGAAGGCGGGUUGCUGGGCCGACACUGACGCUGAUGCGCGAAAGCCAGGGGAGCAAACG
rnacentral:rRNA from 1 species